rfam:Camelus ferus unplaced genomic scaffold scaffold1783, whole genome shotgun sequence.
GGAGGAUACAGCUCAGUGGCAGAGUGCAUGCUUAGCAUGCAAGAGGUCCUGGGCUUAAUCCCCAGUACCUCCA